AGAGUUUGAUCCUGGCUCAGAUUGAAUGCUGGCGGCAGGCCUAACACAUGCAGGUCGAGCGGAUGAAGAGAGCUUGCUCUCUGAUUCAGCGGCGGACGGGUGAGUAAUGCCUAGGAAUCUGCCUAUUAGUGGGGGACAACGUUUCGAAAGGAACGCUAAUACCGCAUACGUCCUACGGGAGAAAGCAGGGGACCUUCGGGCCUUGCGCUAAUAGAUGAGCCUAGGUCGGAUUAGCUAGUUGGUGAGGUAAAGGCUCACCAAGGCGACGAUCCGUAACUGGUCUGAGAGGAUGAUCAGUCACACUGGAACUGAGACACGGUCCAGACUCCUACGGGAGGCAGCAGUGGGGAAUAUUGGACAAUGGGCGAAAGCCUGAUCCAGCCAUGCCGCGUGUGUGAAGAAGGUCUUCGGAUUGUAAAGCACUUUAAGUUGGGAGGAAGG
rnacentral:rRNA from 1 species